rnacentral:rRNA from 1 species
GGUAAAGGCGGACGAUGGUGCGAGGGGAUAUGGGGUGUGGUAGGGUUGUCCUGAUUUAAUGGGGUUAAAGGGUCCGUAGGCGGAAUUGUAAGGCAGUGGUGAAAUGUCAUAGCUUAACUAGGAAACGGCGAUGGAGACUGGAGGUCGUGAGUAAAUUUGAAGUGGCUGGAAUAAGUAGUGUAGCGGUGAAAUGCAUAGAUAUUACUGAGAACACCAAUUGCGAAGGCAGGUCACUAAGAUUUAACUGACGCUGAUGGACGAAAGCGUGGGUAGCGAACAGGAUUAGAUACCCCUGUAGUC